UACAGAGGGGGCAAGCGUUAUUCGGAAUUAUUGGGCGUAAAGGGCGCGUAGGCGGCCUUUCAAGUGGCGGGUGAAAUCCCUCGGCUUAACCGAGGAACUGCCUGCCAGACUGGAAGGCUUGAGACCGGGAGAGGUGAGUGGAAUUCCCAGUGUAGCGGUGAAAUGCGUAGAUAUUGGGAGGAACACCAGUGGCGAAGGCGGCUCACUGGACCGGUACUGACGCUGAGGCGCGAAAGCGUGGGGAGCAAACAGG
rnacentral:rRNA from 1 species